CCUACGGGGGGCAGCAGUGAGGAAUAUUGGGCAAUGGGCGCGAGCCUGAACCAGCCAAGUCGCGUGAAGGAUGACUGCCCUACGGGUUUUAACCUUCUUUUAUAAAGGAGUAAAGUGAGGCAUGUCUGCCUUUUUGUCUGUACUUUAUGAAUAAGGAUCGGCUAACUCCGUGCCAGCAGCCGCGGCAAUAUGGAGGAUCCGAGCGUGAUACGGAUUUGUUGGGUGUAAAGGGAGCGUAGAUGGGUUGUUAAGUCAGUUGUGAAAGUUCGGGGCUCAACCGUAAAAUUGCAAUUGAUACUGGCAGUCUUGAGUACAGUUGAGGUAGGCGGAAUUCGUGGUGUAGCGGUGAAAUGCGUAGAUAUCACGAAGAACUCCGAUGGCGAAGGCAGCUUACUAAACUGCCACUGACAUUGAUGCUCGAAAGUGUGGGUAUCAAACAGGAUUAGAUACCCGUGUAGUC
rnacentral:rRNA from 1 species